AUAUUUUCUAUGUAUUUGGUUCGUCUUUUCCAGAAAAGUCCCUACCUCCUCUUCCAAUUGGCUAAAUUACUGAAGUCUCACUCAAGAAAACAAACUUCCUGUGGAAAAUGUCACCAUAUCUCAAGGCAAUUGAAAACCCACAUUCAUUUCUGGAAUUAAGUCCUAGAAUUUUAAGAAACCAUUAUUUCAAAUAGAGUCACGACUGACAACCCAACUUCAAAAUUAACUUAUUUUCAAUUUUGACUCUGUAGGGUGUUCCGUUUAUUGUCAAAACCAAAUACAUGGGCUGAGGAUGUAGUUCAGUGGUAGAGCACUGGUCUAGCAUGUGUGAAGCUCUAGGUUCAAUCCCUAGUACCAGGAAAAAACCUGCACUUACUUCUGUAAUCUUAUAAAAACAAAGGCCAUCUGUGUCUCAAAUAUUCAAGAUUAUGGAUGCUUAGGUUUUUUUAUUUUUGUACUGGGGGUUGAACACAGGGCCUCACACAUGCUUGGCUGUACCACUGAGCUAUAUCCCAAGCCCAUAUAUGUUCGGUUUUAAGGGACAGCUUAGGCAGAGAAUGUUAUAGAUGCUAACCAACCACUCUCAUGUUAUGGCUCUUCCAAAUAUUUGAAUAUCUGUACCCUAGGCCUGCCAUAAUAAAGUAUCUCACAC
rnacentral:lncRNA from 1 species